rnacentral:tRNA from 1 species
AAUAAAGUGGCUGAGUUUAGGCGGUGAAUUGUAAAUUCAUAAACAAGUGUUACUUCUUUAUUA